GACGUAGGGCGCGAGCGUUGUCCGGAUUUAUUGGGCGUAAAGAGCUCGUAGGCGGCUUGUCGCGUCGUCUGUGAAAUCCCGCGGCUCAACCGCGGGUCUGCAGUCGAUACGGGCAGGCUAGAGUUCGGUAGGGGAGACUGAAAUUCCUGGUGUAGCGGUGAAAUGCGCAGAUAUCAGGAGGAACACCGGUGGCGAAGGCGGGUCUCUGGGCCGAUACUGACGCUGAGGAGCGAAAGCGUGGGGAGCGAACAGG
rnacentral:rRNA from 1 species